ACAGCAGCAGCCGCGGGAACACGAAGGGUGCAAGCGUUAAUCGGAAUUACUGGGCGUAAAGCGUGCGUAGGCGGUGAGUUAAGUCUGCUGUGAAAUCCCCGGGCUCAACCUGGGAAUGGCAGUGGAUACUGGCUCGCUAGAGUGUGUCAGAGGAUGGUGGAAUUCCCGGUGUAGCGGUGAAAUGCGUAGAGAUCGGGAGGAACAUCAGUGGCGAAGGCGGCCAUCUGGGACAACACUGACGCUGAGGCACGAGAGCGUGGGGAGCAAACAGGAUUAGAUACCCCCGUAGUCCCUGUCUCUUAUAC
rnacentral:rRNA from 1 species